UGAGUUUAGAGACUUUGGACCCGGGUGCUUCUAGACAUCUUGAAAAAGCGUAAGGAAAAUAUUUCAAUCAAGGUAAGCGUCUCCAAGUCUUUAGUUAAACCAAGGACUGUGCACCCACUGUGUAAUUGCUGAUCAACUCUAUACUGAUAACUUUUAAAAUGUUUAAAGUGUUUUGCACAUCGCAUGGAGGUUGUUAUUAUGAUUAAACCAAAUAACCCUGGUUUUGUAGAAACUGCCAAAAUACAGUAUGAAGAAUUAGUUUGCUGACCCAACAACUAAUAAGACAAGCGUAUAAUAUUCAAGGAUGUGUUUGUGAUUAAGGAAAAAAAAAGUUUUACCAUAAAAGUUAUAUAAAUAUAUCAUUCAACAAAAUGUUUCACCCUAAACACUUUACUAUUGAUAGUUUAUCCUUGUAACUAAACAAGGGGAAUGAAUGGUGCACACAGAUACCUCAAUGUAUUUGUAAGGCAGUUGCUUCGGGGAUAUAAAGAGUCCUUCAAUACCAUCACCACCGAUUACUUUAAUCCUCCCAUCCCUACCAAACAAAUAAGAAUCAAAACAACAAUGUGAUUUGUGUGAUGCAGGGAUAUCAUAUCUCCAAAUAGAUGUACGUAAUCUCAUGCCUUCA
rnacentral:lncRNA from 1 species